UGUCUACAGGCUUCAUGUAGUCUUCUGUGUGGAUAAGAGGAAGUUGCCUGGGGUGUAUGUUGCCUCCUCUCCCUUCUAAGGGAGCUGCCUGACCAUUUAUGAUCAUGCCAGCGGCAUCAUGCUCCUCCUUCUCAGUGCUCAUGCAAUAUAGAUCUACACUACCAGAACAGACCCCCCCCCCUUUUAGAGUUGCAGUGUUGGACUUUCGGCACAGUGCUAAAAAGGAGGAGAGAUGUGUAGAAAGGAGACUGUGGUGCUGUACUCUCAGCGGAUUCCUGCUCUGACCUAAACAUCUUCCUCAGCUUGCAGAUUCAGUGGUGAAACUGUGGGACACACAGUGCCAUCUGCUGUCGGAGGUGGUGCUGGAGCUGAGGUUCUUUGCCCACAUGGUGACCUGCUGCUGGGCUUCUGCAUGAACCUCUACAAACUCUCGCACCUUCAUCUCAUCUCCUGAUCAUCUGUAGACACCAUCUUAACA